UGUACAACGGGACCACGGAGGUAGUGCAGACACUUCUAUGAGGUACAGCUCAGUUUGCAUGUGUACAUGACGUCACUUCCGGAAACCCGAACAUUGCCGAGUGCCAAGGGGUUUGCCGAGUACAAUUUUUCGGGCACUUGGCAAACAAUCUAUUUGCCAAGUGCCAUCGAGAAAACACUCGGAAAAAAUGGCACUCGGCAAACAAGGGAGUGCCUAGAGGUUGGCACUCGGCAAAGAGGUGUUUGCCGAGUGCUAAGGGGUGGGCACUCGGCAAACAUCCCAUUUCUGAAUUUUCUAAAAAUUUUAAGAAUAGCAAACAAAGUCUAAAAAUUAUGAGAUUUGGCAAGAUGUCAUAAUAUCAUAUGUGUAGGUUGUGAGAAAAAGUUGAGGAGGUUUCGCACACUUUUUACGUGCUUACAAACCGAUACAUCUCCGAAGAAAAAUCAUAGAGUUGAGAAUGAUCCGAUAAGAAUUGGAGUCAAAUUGAUGGUCGAAUUGUUGUUUGAGUUCAAAAUUUUUUGUAUAGGCAAUAGAUAACAUAGAUUGCAUAACGUGAAAUUUUGGUAAUUUUUCAAGUCCAUUUGGUAUUUUUAAUUUUUUUUACUUAAUUAUUUUUCGAGUGUAUUUUAUUGGCACUCGGCAAAAAGAGGUUUUGCCGAGUGCCAUAAAAAUACACUCGGCAAAACGUCUCGGAUGAAUUUUGAAUUAGAAUUUUUGGAGUAUUUCAAAUGACCUCGGAUGAAGAAACUCACAACAGCAAAGUUGUAGAUCUCGAAAAGUUAAGAAACUUUGUAGUUCACAACUUUUUUUAUUUGAAUGCAUUUAGGAUUUCAAAUAUGUGUUUGAAUUUCUCAAAUUUGAAAUUCAAAUUUUGCAAACGACAUCGGAUCAAAAAACUUACAACAUCAAAGUUGUAGAUCUCGAAAAGUUAUGGAACUUUGUAGUUCAAAAGUUUUUUAUUUGAAUACGUUUAGGGCCUCAAACAAGCAAUUUUAUCUCGAAUUAGUAUAAUAUGUGGAGAAUCAAAACAGAAUCUAGACAUAUGUAAUACAUGGUUGGAGUGGUAGAGGUGGCUACACGCGAAGCAAGAGGUCACGGGUUCGAAUCAAGGCAGCCGCGUAGCGCGCGAUUUAACGCGAAAUAAUAGCGAGACUUGGGAUUUGGGACAUUGGAUGAUUGGUGUGAUUACCGGGUGAAAAUAAAAUAUUUUGCUAUUUUUAAACGCUGUUUUUCUAAUCUGGUUUCGAAAAGUUUGCCGAGUGCUUUUUAUACUCGGCAAAGACUUUGCCGAGUGCCCGAAAAAAGACACUCGGCAAAGGUGACUUCGCCGUCACUUUUUUUACCGAGUGCGGUUUGCCAAGUGCCACACUCGGCAAACCCUUUGCCGAGUGUAAAAGGGCCUUUGCCGAGUGUAUUCGACACUCGGCAAACAAGGCCAGUCCGGUAGUGCGUUAAAUAUGUUGUGAAGGAUAUUUAUUCGACAUACACCCCGUUCGCCAGGCUGGAGCUGGAGGCUGGAGCUGGAGUUGUGUGAGAGAAAAACACUGUUGCCUGGCUGGUGGCUGGAGGCUGGAGCUAGAGUUGUAUGAGUGAGAAAUACUGCAGAGGCUGGAGCAGCCUCCACCAGCCGAACGGGGUGAUAAUUAACGGUUUUAUCUGUGCAGCUCUUUCAACAGAUCCUUCCACCAGCGCCGUUUGGGAAUCAGCAGACCAGUUUUAUUCAGAGGUUUGGAGUGCCAGGACGAGCAGCUUAUGAAUGCGGAAGGUGUCAUUACUGAGUUUAGGAUAAUGUAGCUCCCAUUCGUCAUGCGGGUUGAUCUCCCAGUCCCAACCAGUGUAAAAAGAGGCGGCACAACGGUACAGAUUUUGAAUUAGAAGCUUGUGGAAAUGUUUAUACAAUUCGAACCGGUCGGACGAGUGUCCGGGGUCAAGGAAAUAAGCUUCCAUUGCACUAAUAUUGUAGAAGUACGAGCACCAGUACCCGUGGAUGAUGACAGGAAUAACAAGCUGAGGAGACAGAGAGGUGCUGUCAGAAAAAAUGAAAAACAAAUUCGGCAAAAGAUAAAUGUACAUGAUUAUAAACAAACUACCAACCCUACUAAAACAGUUGACGGCGAAUUUACCAUUGUACAGUGAGGAACACUGUAUUCAGGAGCCGUGAAUUGGUUGAAAACAUUUUUGCAAGACUCAGGAGAAAAAUAUCCUAAUGCCAACAUCUGUUCAAUUCAAUGUAAUCGUAUUUAAUAUUUAUUUAAAGUCAGCUUAGCACAGAAUAACAUAAUUUAUAGAAACUCUAUGGAGAACUUAAAUUUUACUUACGGCAAAGCUAGAUUCGAAGAAAUGCCUCCAACGAACUGGUGUGUCGUUGCGCUUAUUAAUAGCAUCUAACUAAUUGAACCUCCUUAUGAUCACAUCAAUAACGUCAUGAUCAAGCACCUUGGAUCCAAACAGAUUUUCAGUGAGUUCUGUGCUAGUGAGCGCAAGAUAGCGUGGUACUCCCUCUAUUCAGUUUUGAUUGAUAUAUUUCCAUAUGGCACAAUGACCAAGGGCACCACAAGUGUGCUUAUCAAUCUAAUAAAUGCAACA